AUGCGUCGCCCCGGCAGCUCCAGGCAUGUGAUCUGCGUGUGCUCUCCCAACCGCUCGGUACCGUGAGCCCUGCAACCGGAACACGUCUGCCUGGACACAAGCCUCCUUUCUACGGCAGAAGGUUGCCCCAGGAGACGGCGCUGAAGCCCUCUGGCUCCUCCAGAGGAGAGGAGAUGACGGAUGGCAACGGGACUCCCCCACCGGCCUGUGUUCCUGAGCAGUGACCGAUUAGGAAUCAUCCACAUUCCCGCCGGACGCCCCCGGGCCGACAGUACACACUGCAACGGGCAAGGGCGCGACGAGAUCGCAGGAGGAUGGCACCUGAACCACGCAACACCCUGGCUUCGGGGUCUCUGAGCAGAGCCUGUGGACAAGGCAGAGGACAGGGGGUGCUGCCGGUCAUCCCUCUCCUGGCUGGCCGAGCUCUAGUUGGAGGAGGGGGCUGCAUAUUC